AUGGUCUGCUCCAGCAAGAUGGCUUCAGCUUAAGGGCCUUGUCUGCCCUAGGCCACGCCUUUUGCCCAAACCAGGAAGUGCCACCCUUCACAACCAGUGGUGCUUCUGCUGCCUGUUCUGAGUUUGUUUGGCCUCGCUCUCCCUCCCAGAGGACAGUGGAGGUAUUCUGGUUGGAGCGCAGUCGUGUGCGAGGAGGUGUUUUGUGGUCACCUGGGCUAAAGGAUUGGGAAACUCCAGAGCCUCCUCUGGUCAACCCGAGCCCCCAUCCGUGACGAGAUCCCAGUUUACGACGAGCUCCAGAACCAGAGCGUGGGGGUGGAGUCCUGGGACCUGAGAUGUCAGGAUCUGCCUGAGAUUGGGCUCUUCUCAUAGGAGAGGGAGAGACGGGAGCACUGCGGGGAUCUGAAAAACAGAGGAGAAGCAGAGUAGAAGAGUACAAGGAGAACUAGCCUCUGACGAUCCUCAUCUGUGACAUGUAUGAAGAAAACCUGCAUCAAAACAGUGACACUUUUUGCUCUUUAACCUCAAAUCUUGCUCUAAAACCUCUACAUUUCAAUUAAUAUAUUCUAUACACAAAGUGCAACUAUGGGCAUGCCACAUUGUUUCAGGCUCUACUUAACAACCAACAGCUUGUGAAGCAAAACAUAUUCAGACUGCAAGGUAAGCUUGAGGGAGCCCGUCACUGAACAAAACCAAAACAGGGAGAAAAAAAAAUCCUGUACUUUGUGUCCUUGAUUCUGUCUGGAAGAAAAGCUUUCAUAACAAUAAAGACGCUUGAAAAAGUCA